rnacentral:pre_miRNA from 1 species
GGAAACUUAGAAAUUACCGUUGGAUCGAGAAAUGGACAUCCGAGAUUCGUCCACGUCACCAUGAGUUAAAACUUAACUCGCAGAUUCUCAUGGUGACGUGGACGAAUCUCGGAUGUCCAUUUCUCGAUCCAACGGUAGUUUUCAAGUUUUC